GGUAUGAUGGUGUAAUGGAUGCACAUUAGGCUCAUGUCCUAUUAGAAGUUGUUCAAAUCAACUUCAUGCCA